rnacentral:rRNA from 1 species
UACGAAGGGGGCUAGCGUUGCUCGGAAUUACUGGGCGUAAAGCGCACGUAGGCGGCUUCUUAAGUCGGUGGUGAAAUCCUGGAGCUCAACUCCAGAACUGCCUUCGAUACUGGGAAGCUCGAGGCCGGGAGAGGUGAGUGGAACUGCGAGUGUAGAGGUGAAAUUCGUAGAUAUUCGCAAGAACACCAGUGGCGAAGGCGGCUCACUGGCCAGGAACUGACGCUGAGGUGCGAAAGCGUGGGGAGCAAACAGG